rnacentral:rRNA from 1 species
UGGGGAAUUUUGGACAAUGGGCGAAAGCCUGAUCCAGCAAUGCCGCGUGCAGGAAGAAGGCCUUCGGGUUGUAAACUGCUUUUGUACGGAACGAAAAGGCUCUUUCUAAUAAAGGGGGCUCAUGACGGUACCGUAAGAAUAAGCACCGGCUAACUACGUGCCAGCAGCCGCGGUAAUACGUAGGGUGCGAGCGUUAAUCGGAAUUACUGGGCGUAAAGCGUGCGCAGGCGGUUCUAUAAGACAGAUGUGAAAUCCCCGGGCUCAACCUGGGAAUGGCAUUUGUGACUGUAGAGCUAGAGUACGGUAGAGGGGGAUGGAAUUCCGCGUGUAGCAGUGAAAUGCGUAGAUAUGCGGAGGAACACCGAUGGCGAAGGCAAUCCCCUGGACCUGUACUGACGCUCAUGCACGAAAGCGUGGGGAGCAAACAGGAUUAGAUACCCAAGUAGUCCCUGAGCGGGCUGGCAAGGCGCAU